UACAGAGGUCCCAAGCGUUGUUCGGAUUCACUGGGCGUAAAGGGUGCGUAGGCGGUUGGGUAAGUCUGACGUGAAAUCUCCGAGCCUAACUCGGAAACUGCGUUGGAUACUAUCCAGCUAGAGGAAUGGAGGGGAGACUGGAAUACUUGGUGUAGCAGUGAAAUGCGUAGAUAUCAAGUGGAACACCAGUGGCGAAGGCGAGUCUCUGGACAUUUCCUGACGCUGAGGCACGAAAGCCAGGGGAGCAAAC
rnacentral:rRNA from 1 species